AUGCACCUCUGACAGACCUGGAGCAGUUAAUGUCUGCUGCUGGGGUUUCUACUACAGAUGCAAGGCAAAGAAGAUCCUUGCACUUCCGUCUGUCUGGUUGUGGCAUCCGAGAUUGAAUGGGUGCAUGCAGGA
rnacentral:snoRNA from 1 species